UCGGGAAUUAGUAAAGUGGCGAACGGGUGAGGAACGCGUGAGUAUCUACCUCUAGGUGGAGGAUACCCCUGAGAAAUUAGGGUUAAUCCUGCAUAUUCUUUUCGAAGGAAAGACGGCCUCUUGCUGUCGCCUGGAGAUGAGCUCGCGUCUUAUUAGUUAGUUGGUGGGGUAAUGGCCUACCAAGACGAUGAUGGGUAGCCGGCCUGAGAGGGUGUACGGCCACACUGGGACUGAGAUACGGCCCAGACUCC
rnacentral:rRNA from 1 species